rnacentral:rRNA from 1 species
AAACAUAACCUUUAGCAAAACAAAUAUUAAAGGCAACGCCUGCCCAGUGAACAAUUAAACGGCCGCGGUACCCUAACCGUGCAAAGGUAGCAUAAUCAUUUGUCUACUAAUUAUAGACCUGUAUGAAAGGCAAAAUGAGGGUCUAACUGUCUCUUAUAAUGAAUCAAUUAAACUGAUCUACUAGUAAAAAAGCUAGAAUACCAACAUAAGACCAGAAGACCCUGUGAAGCUUAAACUAAACUAUUAAACCUAAUAAUAACUACUUUCGGUUGGGGCGACCUUGGAAAAAAAAAGAACUUCCAAACAUACUUCUAUCCAGAAUUAAACUCAGGCCAACAAGCCAAUUAAUGACCCAGCAUAGCUGAUAAAUGAACCAAGUUACUCCAGGGAUAACAGCGCAAUCUUCUUCAAGAGCCCAUAUCAAAAAGAAGGUUUACGACCUCGAUGUUGGAUCAGGACAUCCUAAUGGUGCAGCCGCUAUUAAGGGUUCGUUUGUUCAACGAAUAACAGUCCUACGUGAUC